rnacentral:rRNA from 1 species
GACGAACGCUGGAGGCGUGCUUAACACAUGCAAGUCGAACGGAAAGGCCCUGCUUUUGUGGGGUGCUCGAGUGGCGAACGGGUGAGUAACACGUGAGUAACCUGCCCUUGACUUUGGGAUAACUUCAGGAAACUGGGGCUAAUACCGGAUAGGAGCUCCUGCUGCAUGGUGGGGGUUGGAAAGUUUCGGCGGUUGGGGAUGGACUCGCGGCUUAUCAGCUUGUUGGUGGGGUAGUGGCUUACCAAGGCUUUGACGGGUAGCCGGCCUGAGAGGGUGACCGGCCACAUUGGGACUGAGAUACGGCUCAGACUCCUACGGGAGGCAGCAGUGGGGAAUAUUGCACAAUGGGCGGAAGCCUGAUGCAGCAACGCCGCGUGCGGGAUGACGGCCUUCGGGUUGUAAACCGCUUUCGCCUGUGACGAAGCGUGAGUGACGGUAAUGGGUAAAGAAGCACCGGCUAACUACGUG